CGCUGCUUCAAAAGUUACAGACAAGCUGGCGGAGUGUGCAGCGACCGCGCAGCUGCCCACCACCGAGAAGAGGGAAGGAAACUCCCGCGGCAGGGGGUUGGCUUCUCCGGGGUGAGGACUGUGCAUUCCCAGCUCAAGCCCGGAAACCUCCUUCCUUGUGAUCCUCGGAGGGCGGCAGGGAGCGCGCUCAUCCUUUCUGAGCCCCCACCAGCAGGAGCCAGCUGUGUGUGGGCCCACGCUGCGGGCAUCCCCUUCCAGGCAGGACCCCCAGAGGUGGUCAGACUUCAGGAUGGAUGAUGAACUUCCAAAAAGGAAAAAGAUGGAAAAUCAUCGAAUUACCAUAAACUGUGCUGCCAACCGAAUAAGUGUUUCUAAAGGCUCAAGAGAGAUUAUAUUCCUGCAUUAUAUAAUCUACCAACAACCUACUUACCUACUGUCUUAAUCUAGUUUAUUCUUGAAAGCAGAGCCUGAGACAAAGGGAGACAUGUUCUACUUGGGAAUGUGAUCCUAGGGAGCGGGAAUGAGAGAGACAGGAGUGAAGGGGCGGGGCGAGGCGGGGAGGAAAGAAAAUACAAGCAAAACAAGGUAGUAUAAUCCAGUGUCCACCUCUGUUAAUGGUUCUCAGGGAAGAACCUUCUCAGAAGUCUUACUAAACUUUGUCUCAGACUGUCUGCCUGAGGGUACAAAGGGAGAAGCAGUUCUCGCUCCUACAUGUUGAGGGCUGCUCCCAUUAGGGCUAACACCCGACCCCCACCCCCAUGCAAAGCCAGGGGAGCCUCACUGGUACCAGGGCAUCCCACAUUGCCACAUCAGAGAAGCCUUGGGACAGGAAGCUAGAUUCCUGCUACGUGCUGGAAGUGAGGCACUGCCAGCACAGAGCAGGGCCAAGCCUGCCUGGAACUGUUCACCAGAGCUGCGGCGGGAACUGGAGGUUGAAGAGAUGUGAGACAGUGCACACGAGUGUACAGAAUGUGCUGUCAGCAUUGUCCAGCUCUAUUUCCUCCUCUUUCUGUAAUUAAAAUUUCAGUGUCCAGAACAAGGAUGGCAGAAGGGUUAUAUUUAUUAGAGGGAUGUUUAUAAGAAAUAGAACAUGAACAUGACAAAUAGAACAUGAGAACUUGGAAAAAAUUUUAAAUAUUCCAUUUGAAAAAUUGGGUUAUUGGUGAAAGAUAUUGUAUAUCUUCUAAAUUCAUGUAAUCUCUGAAAAUCAUGAAUUGUUUGGAGAAAUAAAAUUAACCUUUUGUUACGCCUCUGA